GCGCAGGUGGCGGAAUGGUAUACGCGCAUGCUUGAGGUGCAUGUGCCGAAAGGCUUGGAGGUUCGAGUCCUCUCCUGCGCACCA
rnacentral:tRNA from 1 species